UUUCCUUUAGAUAAUUUACUGUGAAAAUUUUCAAUUGCGAUGUGUGGCCACUCUGAAAUUGGCUUCUGCAAUUGAAUUUAACUUGCAGCGUGUGCUGUACUCAUUUAUUUGCAAUGUAAGUUCUGAAAUUAAAUUUCAAAUCGUUUUCUUGAAAGUCCAAGUCAGAUUAGUUUAGUUUUAUCGAAGAAGAUUUCUGCGAAAAUGUUGUGAAAUAAGCUAAUGUUCCAGAAACUGCUAGGAACAGGACUAUAUUUUUCCAAAGGUCUUUGAGGUGCGUAAUCCCAAACUGAAUUCACAAUAGUUCCAGCAUCUACAAUUUUCAAACAUUUAAAAUGGCGGAUUCAAAAUGGUGGAGGAUUUUUUAAGAAUUAUUUGCAUUUUCCCUAAGGGAUUUUUGGGGUUGCUGAUUACAAUCGGAUUUCAUGUCGGCAACAUCAAAACUCUUAUGAAUACUCAAAAUUCAAAUAUUGGUACUUAUUUUCCUGUAUAUUUUCAAAGUCUUAUUUAUUGUUCUACACAAUUUCUGAAGAUUGACGAAUUUGACAAACUCAGUAAAUUCAA